rnacentral:rRNA from 1 species
AUUGAACGCUGGCGGCAUGCCUUACACAUGCAAGUCGAACGGCAGCACGGGAGCAAUCCUGGUGGCGAGUGGCGAACGGGUGAGUAAAGUAUCGGAACGUGCCCAGUCGUGGGGGAUAACGUAGCGAAAGUUACGCUAAUACCGCAUACGAACUAUGGAUGAAAGCGGGGGAUCGCAAGACCUCGCGCGAUUGGAGCGGCCGAUAUCAGAUUAGGUAGUUGGUGGGGUAAAGGCUCACCAAGCCGACGAUCUGUAGCUGGUCUGAGAGGACGACCAGCCACACUGGGACUGGGACACGGCCCAGACUCCUACGGGAGGCAGCAGUGGGGAAUUUUGGACAAUGGGAGAAAGCCUGAUCCAGCCAUGCCGCGUGCAGGAUGAAGGCCUUCGGGUUGUAAACUGCUUUUGGACGGAACGAAAAGGUUUGGCCUAAUAAGCUGAGCUCAUGACGGUACCGUAAGAAAAAGCACCGGCUAACUACGUGCCAGCCGCCGCAGUAA